UCCGAGUUGACCCCGGCAGUCUUCUACGAGUCCCCGGCAUAAUCCGCUGGCAACAUAGAAUAAGGGUUGCGCUCGUUGCGGGACUUAACCCAACAUCUCACGACACGAGCUGACGACAACCAUGCACCACCUGUAUACCGCCCUUGCGGACCCCAUAUCUCUAUGAGUUUUCGGUAUAUGUCAAGCCUUGGUAAGGUUCUUCGCUUUGCAUCGAAUUAAGCCACGCGCUCCGCCGCUUGUGCGGGCCCCCGUCAAUUCCUUUGAGUUUUAGCCUUGCGGCCGUACUCCCCAGGCGGGGUGCUUAAUGCGUUAGCUUCGGCACGGACGGAGUCGACACCGCCCACACCUAGCACCCAUCGUUUACGGCGUGGACUAC
rnacentral:misc_RNA from 1 species